rnacentral:rRNA from 1 species
CGCAAGUCGAGCGAACAGAUAAGGAGCUUGCUCCUUUGACGUUAGCGGCGGACGGGUGAGUAACACGUGGAUAACCUACCUAUAAGACUGGGAUAACUUCGGGAAACCGGAGCUAAUACCGGAUAACAUAUUGAACCGCAUGGUUCAAUAGUGAAAGGCGGCUUUGCUGUCACUUAUAGAUGGAUCCGCGCCGUAUUAGCUAGUUGGUAAGGUAACGGCUUACCAAGGCAACGAUACGUAGCCGACCUGAGAGGGUGAUCGGCCACACUGGAACUGAGACACGGUCCAGACUCCUACGGGAGGCAGCAGUAGGGAAUCUUCCGCAAUGGGCGAAAGCCUGACGGAGCAACGCCGCGUGAGUGAUGAAAGUCUUCGGAUCGUAAAACUCUGUUAUCAGGGAAGAACAAAUGUGUAAGUAAUUGUGCACAUCUUGACGGUACCUGAUCAGAAAGCCACGGCUAACUACGUGCCAGCAGCCGCGGUAAUACGUAGGUGGCAAGCGUUAUCCGGAAUUAUUGGGCGUAAAGCGCGCGUAGGCGGUUUUUUAAGUCUGAUGUGAAAGCCCACGGCUCAACCGUGGAGGGUCAUUGGAAACUGGAAAACUUGAGUGCAGAAGAGGAAAGUGGAAUUCCAUGUGUAGCGGUGAAAUGCGCAGAGAUAUGGAGGAACA